AGUGGCGGACGGGUGAGUAACGCGUGGGCAACCUGCCUUACACAGGGGGAUAACAGCUAGAAAUGGCUGCUAAUACCGCAUAAGACCUCAGUACCGCAUGGUAGAGGGGUAAAAACUCCGGUGGUGUAAGAUGGGCCCGCGUCUGAUUAGGUAGUUGGUAGGGUAACGGCCUACCAAGCCGACGAUCAGUAGCCGACCUGAGAGGGUGACCGGCCACAUUGGGACUGAGACACGGCCCAA
rnacentral:rRNA from 1 species